AUGUUCCCACUGGAGGUUGUACUGGAUCCAGUACUGGAGGUUGUGCUUGUUUCACUGGAGGUCAUACUGGAACCAGUAUUGGCAGGUGUGCUGGUCUCACCAGAGAUUGUGCUGGUUCCAGUGUUGACAGGUGUAAUAGUCCCUCCAGAGGUCGAGCUGGAUCCAGUGUUGGAGGUUAUACUUGAACCACUGGGGGUCACACUGGAUGCAGCGUUGGAAGUCAUGCUGGAUCCAGUGCUGCAGGCUGUGCUAGAUCCUCUAGAGGUCGAGCUGGAUCCAGUGUUGGAGGUUAUCCUGGAACCACUGGGGGUCACGCUGGAUGCAGUGUUGGAAGUCAUGCUUGAUCCAGUGCUGAAGGCUGUGCUAGAUACUCCAGAGGUCGAGCUGGAUCCAGUGUUGGAGGUUAUACUGGAACCACUGGGGGUCACACUGGAUGCAGCGUUGGAAGUCAUGCUGGAUCCACUGCUGAAGGCUGUGCUAGAUCCUCUAGAGGUCGAGCUGGAUCCAGUGUUGGAGGGUAUACUGGAACCACUGGGGGUCACACUGGAUGCAGCGUUGGAAGUCAUGCUGGAUCCACUGCUGAAGGCUGUGCUAGAUCAUCCAGAGGUCGAGCUGGAUCCAGUGUUGGAGGUUAUCCUGGAACCACUGGGGGUCACACUGGAUGCAGCGUUGGAAGUCAUGCUGGAUCCACUGCUGAAGGCUGUGCUAGAUCAUCCAGAGGUCGAGCUGGAUCCAGGGUUGGAGGUUAUACUGGAACCACUGGGGGUCACGCUGGGUGCAGUGUUGGAAGUCAUGCUUGAUCCAGUGCUGAAGGCUGUGCUAGAUACUCCAGAGGUCGAGCUGGAUCCAGGGUUGGAGGUUAUACUGGAACCACUGGGGGUCACGCUGGAUGCAGCGUUGGAAGUCAUGCUGGAUCCACUGCUGAAGGCUGUGCUAGAUACUCCAGAGGUCGAGCUGGAUCCAGUGUUGGAGGGUAUACUGGAACCACUGGGGGUCACACUGGAUGCAGCGUUGGAAGUCAUGCUGGAUCCACUGCUGAAGGCUGUGCUAGAUCAUCCAGAGGUCGAGCUGGAUCCAGUGUUGGAGGUUAUACUGGAACCACUGGGGGUCACGCUGGGUGCAGUGUUGGAAGUCAUGCUGGACCCACUGGGGGUCAUGUUGGAUCCAGUGCUGGAGGCUGUGCUGGAUGCAGUGUUGAAGGCUGUGCUAGUCUCAGUGGAGAUUGCCAUGGAUCUAGGGUUGGCCAUGACCACACUGGAAGUUGGGUGUGGCCCUAAAAAGACACACACACACACACAAAUUUGAGAUGGGACUAGGUAUUUGGGUAAUUAUAUAUGCAUUAAAGUUCCAGAGGCUCCUGAUCAUAAGGCAAAGGCUGGAGAAGAAUAAGUUAUAUGUAGUUUAAAUGUAAAAGACCUCCCAGGAUUUCAGGCUGCAAAUCAAGAUUAAUAGAUAUAAGGAAGCAUUUCCUCCUUCUUGAAGGCUCAGCUGGAGUUAAGGUUGUGCCUGUUUUUGGCCCUCACUACCUUAAAGGACAAAGACACUCAAUCACUCCAGAUGAACAGAAUUUAUCUCACUUGUCAUUCAUUUUCCUUUAACUGGGACACGAAUGCCUGUCGCCUUACCCCACGCAUGUGUGUUUUCCCCUCAGGAUUAUUCGAACUAACAUAGGAUUAAAAUCAAGCCCUAUUUGGGGAACCCCCCAUCUGCAAUGGGGUACAAAUUGGAGUUAAGUCAAAAUCAUGAGUAAAACUAAAUAAGAAACUGAGAUAAACAAGAAUAGGGGUGACAUGAAGGAGGGAUUGGAUUUGAUCUGAGAAGUUUUGGAGAGCAGACUGGAUGAGUCAAAAUUAUGUGAGGGCUAAUUUUGAUUCAAAAAUGAUGAAUUCUAAGUGAACAAUAGGAGACAGCCCAAGAAGUGUUUAAUAGAGUGUCAGAUGUGUUAAGACAAGUGGGAGUUAGUUUUGACUCUUGAAUCCUUUUUUCCUUCGUCUGAGGCUGACUCAGGCUGAUUGUGGAGCCAGGGUUAAGGACAGGAGAAAAAUUAAAUUUUUAGAAUAUUGAAGAGUGAGAUAUAUAUAUAUUUUUUUGUCUUUUUUUUUUUUUUUUUUUUGCUUUUUUUUUGGGCCGCUUCUGUGGCAUAUGGAGGUCCCCAGGCUAGGGGUUGAAUCGGAGCUGUAGCCGCCGGCCUACGCCAGAGCCACAGCAACGCACGAUCCGAGCCGCGUCUACAACCUACACCACAGCUCACGGCAACGCCGGAUCAUUAACCCACUGAGCAAGGGCAGGGACCGAACCCGCAACC
rnacentral:lncRNA from 1 species